rnacentral:pre_miRNA from 1 species
ACUGGUUUCAUUUGGUGGUUAGAUGUGUUUCGUUACUCUAGCACCAUUUGAAUUCAGUUC